rnacentral:rRNA from 1 species
CGUCAAGUCCUCAUGGCCCUUAUGCCCAGGGCUACACACGUGCUACAAUGGUCGGUACAGAGGGCUGCCAACCCGCGAGGGGGAGCAAAUCCCAUAAAAUCGUUCUCAGUUCGGAUUGUAGGCUGCAACUCGCCUACAUGAAGCCGGAAUCGCUAGUAAUCGCGGAUCAGCAUGCCGCGGUGAAUACGUUCCCGGGCCUU